GCUUAUGGCCAUACCAGUCUGAAUUCGCCUGAUUUCAGAAGCUAAGCAGAUUUGGGCCUGGUUAGUACAUGUAUGGAAGACUGCCUGGGAAGACCAGGUGCUGUAAGCU
ensembl:rRNA 5S_rRNA 5S ribosomal RNA